rnacentral:rRNA from 1 species
GACGAACGCUGGCGGCGUGCUUAACACAUGCAAGUCGAACGGAAAGGCCCUGCUUUUGUGGGGUGCUCGAGUGGCGAACGGGUGAGUAACACGUGAGUAACCUGCCCUUGACUUUGGGAUAACUUCAGGAAACUGGGGCUAAUACCGGAUAGGAGCUCCUGCUGCAUGGUGGGGGUUGGAAAGUUUCGGCGGUUGGGGAUGGACUCGCGGCUUAUCAGGUUGUUGGUGGGGUAGUGGCUUACCAAGGUUUUGACGGGUAGCCGGGCUGAGAGGGUGACAGGCCACAUUGGGACUGAGAGACGGCCCAGACUCCUACGGGAGGCAGCGGUGGGGAAUAUUGCACAAUGGGCGGAAGCCUGAUGCAGCAACGCCGCGUGCGGGAUGACGGCCUUCGGGUUAUAAACCGCUUUCGCCUGUGACGAAGCGUGAGUGACGGUAAUGGGUAAAGAAGCACCGGCUAACUACGUG